AUGUCCGGCAGCAGCAUCCUCCUGGCCGCGGCGGUGGCAGCGGCCCUGCUGGUGGCGUCGGCGUCGGCGCAGUCCGGGUGCACGGCGGUGCUCGUCGGGCUGUACCCGUGCAUGAACUACAUCGGCGGCAACGACAUGGCGCCGACUAAGUCCUGCUGCUCGCAGCUUGGCUCCGUGGUGCAGUCCCAGCCGCAGUGCCUCUGCAGCGCGCUCGGCGGCGACUCGUCAUCGCUGGGCCGCCACGCCGACCACGCCCGAGGUGCAGACACCGGCAGGGUCUGGAUCCAAGACGACCCCGUCGGCGUACCUGCAGGAGAACGGCGGCUCGUCACUCCAUGGCCCGGCUGGGCUGGUGCUCGCCCUCGCGGCUGCUGCGGUCUACGCCGUGUGGUGAGCGAGCAUCUCGGCCGCUGGACUGAAGCGGCAGCUGGCUGGCGACUCGGAAAUUCGUUUCCUGUCAGUGUGACACGAUUAGAUUUUCAUAUUGGUUUAGCGUUGAGCAUUGGCGAGGAGGACUGGUCAGUGUUGUGUUCCACAUCUGUACUAUAG
rnacentral:rRNA from 1 species